GAACGCUGGCGGCAGGCCUCAUACAUGCAAGUCGAGCGGUCCUUCGGGACAGCGGCGAACGGGUUAGUAACGCGUGGGAACGUGCCCUUUAGUACGGAAUAGCCAUUGGAAACGAUGAUUAAUACCGUAUACGCCCCAAGGGGGAAAGAUUUAUCGCUAAAGGAUCGGCCCGCGUUAGAUUAGGUAGUUGGUAGGGUAAUGGCCUACCAAGCCGACGAUCUAUAGCUGGUUUGAGAGGAUGAUCAGCAACACUGGGACUGAGACACGGCCCAGACUUCUACGGAAGGCAGCAGUAGGGAAUCUUGGACAAUGGGCGAAAGCCUGAUCCAGCCAUGCCGCGUGAGUGAUGAAGGCCCUAGGGUUGUAAAGCUCUUUCGCCAGGGAAGAUAAUGACGGUACCUGGUAAAGAAACCCCGG
rnacentral:rRNA from 1 species